rnacentral:lncRNA from 1 species
GCAAAACAAAUUUUCAGGUUCUUCUUAAAAAGCCAGUGACAAAAAACAGGUAGUUUCAUUUGGUGUUGGCACAUUGGAUCUGUCAACAGUGGGGCUCCUCUUCAGCUGCAGGGGCUGCUGGUCAGAAGCCUCUUUAAAAGGUCAGUUUUUUCUUCAUAGCGGCAUUUACAGGCAGCUCUCUGGCUGUCCAGGUAGGGCUUACAGCCUACAUGUAUAACUGCAUCAGAUAAGAGCUCCUUGGUGGAUUCACAAGCUUGCUGUGCUAGCCCCAGUGUUUUCUGUACUUCUCUGCAGAUCUUGGAGAGGCAAUAAUGAAACUGCUCAUCACAGUCAUUCUUGGUGCUGCCACAGGUCUUAUAGCAUCUGUCAUAAUGAUUGCAGCACUUUGUUACUGAAAGGAUGCCGAUGUUAAGAUGAACACCAAACCCUGGAGAGCCACAUCCAUUUGGAGGUGAAGGUUUACUGUACUGGGAUAGUCGGUCCUCGCCACCAGCAGUUUCAGGUAUACAAGGAAGCUUUGGGAUACGACUCUCAUCUGCCAAUCAACAAUAAGGGAGAGAGGGCAGGGAAACAUCCACCAAAAAAGCUUGCAACAGCUUCCAACUCAACAUCUUUUUCAACUGUAAAAGUUAUAUAUAAGACAAUACAGUUGUGGAGCCAACAGAAUAAAACAAAACAGCUCAGAAGCAAGAGGAUGGUCUGUGUAGCCUUGACUUCAGGGAAGGAUCCAGGGGAAUGACUAUUGCUGUAAAUGUGCUGCACUUGCUUGCUGUGUCUAUAGAGGAGAAGCACCAUGUGGGUACUGAGCAAGCCUAUAAGGAAAUGAAAGAGAAGGUCAUGAACAGUCAUACCAAACAUAAAUGCAGCACUUAAUUGAUCAUUAUCUCUUAUUGAAAUUCCUGUGAAAAUAUGUGAACCAUAAUGAUAGCUAGAAAUUGUGUCAUUUUUGGUUGCUUCAGUGACUUCAAUGACCCUGAUGUAGAUCAAUGCAUUGGCGACCCAGAAAAAGAGGAAAUAAUGUAAAAUGUAUUUGGGGGCUCUGACUUUGAUGCUAG